GAGCACAUAGGCCAUGCCUUGGGUGGAGGCGUGAAUGGGAGGCAUACAAAGCUGCUUCUUGUGGUCUGCUCUCCCCGCCGCCUCUCAGGGAGGCCGUCCUGUCCACCAUCCUGUGGUCCUAAACAGCCACAUCCUGUAAUCUGAGGCCAGUGACCUAUGACUUGUCUCCUCACUUGAAGAAAUUACCAGGCUAGUUGGGUUCCAUCUCUUGAGCAUCUGUCUGUUGACGGUGGGAGCUGGGCUAAAGAUCCUGAAGUUGACUGAAGCUGGAGUGGUCAUUAUGGGAUGGUGCAGGAUGGGCUAAGGACAAGAAAAGAGCCAUUGGAGAGAGAAAGAGAUGAAGUGGAAGACAGUGAGUGAGGGGCUGGCAGAAGGAUUUCCCCUCUUCAAACUAGAGGAGAACUUCCUCAGCCUCCAUGCAGCCGGCCAGAUCCUAGGGCAAAGCUCUGGCUAGAGAAGGCAAGGACAGGCAAGAAAAUGUUUUAGAAAAAGACCCUUUCCAUCUGGAAUGCUUUUUCCAACUCCCUUCACACCUUCAGGCUGGCUUCUAGUUGCACCAGGAACUCUGGGCCCACGUGUGAGGUGCGGGGGCAACACUGUCCAUCGGGAGGACCUGUGGCUGCCUCCUCAUCCCUUCCACCGAGCGCAGGAUGGCACCAUUGCUGGCUUCUGCUGCCCUCUGUUGUGGUCCUGUACCUCCUCACCUGCUCAGAUGCUCCGCGGGGACUGAUGGAGCUCUUCCUGGUCUCCAGUGGUUCUUACUGGGUAGUGCUGGACAACAGAGUACCAGGAAGGCAGGGACCUGGCCAAGCGCACAUACGCAUGAGUGGAGGAAAUUUUACAAUUUUUAGGAAGCAACAAAAGUAUAAAGUGGGAAUUGCACAUCUUC